rnacentral:rRNA from 1 species
CAGUGAUAUAAUUAAACGGCCGCGGUACCCUGACCGUGCAAAGGUAGCAUAAUCACUUGUUCUCUAAAUAAGGACUCGUAUCAACGGCAUCACGAGGGUUAUACUGUCUCCCCAUUCUAAUCAGUGAAACUGACUUCCCCGUGAAGAGGCGGGAAUGCUAAUACAAGACGAGAAGACCCCNUGGAGCUUUAAACCCAAUGUCAACCUCCACUAAACUCACCUAAAAAACAGAGAGGUUAUGAACAUUGGUUUUGGGUUGGGGUGACCACGGAGAAAAACAAAACCUCCNUGACGAAAGGACCUUAAUCCUAAUCUACGAGCUACUACUCCAAGAAUCACUAAUUUGACACAUCUGAUCCGGCAACCGAUCAACGAACCAAGUUACCCUGGGGAUAACAGCGCAAUCCAUUUCAAGAGCCCCCAUCGACAAAUGGGUUUACGACCCUCGAUGUUGGAUCAGGGUAUCCCAGUGGUGCAGCCGCUACUAAAGGUUUGUUUGUUCAACAAUUAAANCCCCUACGUGNAUCUGAGUUUNAAACCNGGAAUCCCCCACCNNUUCNAANNUCGUNCNUCUGNAUAACCCCUNANNCUUNUNACUUCNNCNUNGCCUCCAUCUCNNUCNC